GCUUGGUGGAUCAGUGGCGAACGGGUGAGUAACACGUGAGCAACCUGCCCUGGACUCUGGGAUAAGCGCUGGAAACGGUGUCUAAUACUGGAUAUGAGCCUCUUCCGCAUGGUGGGGGUUGGAAAGAUUUUUCGGUCUGGGAUGGGCUCGCGGCCUAUCAGCUUGUUGGUGAGGUAAUGGCUCACCAAGGCGUCGACGGGUAGCCGGCCUGAGAGGGUGACCGGCCACACUGGGACUGAGACACGGCCCAGACUCCUACGGGAGGCAGCAGUGGGGAAUAUUGCACAAUGGGCGGAAGCCUGAUGCAGCAACGCCGCGUGAGGGAUGACGGCCUUCGGGUUGUAAACCUCUUUUAGCAGGGAAGAAGCGUGAGUGACGGUACCUGCAGAAAAAGCGCCGGCUAACUACGUGCCAGCAGCCGCGGUAAUACGUAGGGCGCAAGCGUUAUCCGGAAUUAUUGGGCGUAAAGAGCUCGUAGGCGGUUUGUCGCGUCUGCUGUGAAAUCCCGAGGCUCAACCUCGGGCCUGCAGUGGGUACGGGCAGACUAGAGUGCGGUAGGGGAGAUUGGAAUUCCUGGUGUAGCGGUGGAAUGCGCAGAUAUCAGGAGGAACACCGAUGGCGAAGGCAGAUCUCUGGGCCGUAACUGACGCUGAGGAGCGAAAGGGUGGGGAGCAAACAGGCUUAGAUACCCUGGUAGUCCACCCCGUAAACGUUGGGAACUAGUUGUGGGGACCAUUCCACGGUUUCCGUGACGCAGCUAACGCAUUAAGUUCCCCGCCUGGGGAGUACGGCCGCAAGGCUAAAACUCAAAGGAAUUGACGGGGACCCGCACAAGCGGCGGAGCAUGCGGAUUAAUUCGAUGCAACGCGAAGAACCUUACCAAGGCUUGACAUACACCAGAACACCGUAGAAAUACGGGACUCUUUGGACACUGGUGAACAGGUGGUGCAUGGUUGUCGUCAGCUCGUGUCGUGAGAUGUUGGGUUAAGUCCCGCAACGAGCGCAACCCUCGUUCUAUGUUGCCAGCACGUAAUGGUGGGAACUCAUGGGAUACUGCCGGGGUCAACUCGGAGGAAGGUGGGGAUGACGUCAAAUCAUCAUGCCCCUUAUGUCUUGGGCUUCACGCAUGCUACAAUGGCCGGUACAAAGGGCUGCAAUACCGUGAGGUGGAGCGAAUCCCAAAAAGCCGGUCCCAGUUCGGAUUGAGGUCUGCAACUCGACCU
rnacentral:rRNA from 1 species